CCCGGAUAGCGGACAAGCUUAGUAUAAUUUAUUAUGAAGGACGGAUAACGAACAUCUGCAUAAGUCAUCUCAAAUUUGAAAAUGUGUUUAAAAUUCUCCUGAGCCAAAACUAUCUUCAUCAUUAUGCGUUCUGAAUCUUUCUAGGUCGAUCUAUGUCCAGUAUGACAAAAAAAUUUUCCAUCAGUCCGAAAUUUAGUUGACUCGAGAAUCCCGGAUAACGGAUAAGGUUAGUAUAACUUAUUAUGAAGGACCGAUAACGAACAUUUGCAUAAGGGCCAGGUUGGAAAUAGCAAUAAAGCGAUUUCUCACAUAGAAGUAUAAAAAGAAUAAAAAAUAGCCUGAAUAAAUAAAGAAAAAAAUAAUUGUGAGUCCGCUACAAAAUAUGAGUUCAACGGGAUUUGAACCCAAACGUUAAUAGUGAUAGGCCAAACGGCCUACCACUAAGCCACCAGGGACGACCUGAAAUUCUUGUGAAAUUAAAGACAAUAGUAGAUUGUUGUGACCUGCUUAUCUCAUGAGGUGAAGGAGACUAUUAUGCGGUGAAUGGCGGUGAACGCGGUGAAAGAAUUCAAUAUGAAAUCAACACAGAAUGAUUAGCUGGAUCUCUUCGGGUCAGGUUCAACAUAGCAAUAUUUUUUUCUGCUUGUAAAGCGAUUUCUCACAUAGAAAUAUAAAAAGAGUAAAAAAUAGCCAGAUUAUAUAAAGAUUAAAGGGAAAAAAAAUUGUGAGUCUGCUACAAAAUAUGAGUUCAGCGUGAUUUGAACUCAAACGUUUAUCGAGAUAGGCCAAACGAACUAACACUAAGCCACCAGGGACGAUCUGAAAUUUUUGUGAAAUUAAAGACAAAAGUAGAUUGUUGUGACCUGCUUAUCUCAUGCGGUGAAGGAGACUAUUAUGCGGUGAAUGGCGGUGAACGCGGUGAAAGAAUUCAAUAUGAAAUCAACACAGAAUGAUUAGCUGGAUCUCUUCGGGCCAGGUUCAACAUAGCAAUAUCUUAUACUACUUGCAAAGCGAUUUCUCACAUAGAACUAUAAAAAGAGUAAAAAAUAGCCAGAUUAUAUAAAGGGAAAAAAAUAUUGUGAGUCCGCUA
rnacentral:lncRNA from 1 species